AGCCCUGAAAAUGGAUGGCGCUCAAGCGGGCAGCCGACACCACACCGUUUGUUUUAUAUAUAACAGAUGAGUAGGAGGGCGUGGUGGCCGUAUCGAAGCAUGCGUGCGAACGCUUGUGGAACGGCCACUAGUGCAGAUCUUGGUGGUAGUAGCAAAUAUUCAAGCGAGAUCCUUGAAGGGCGAAGCGGGGAAGGGUUCCACGCGAACAUUGAUUGGGCGUGGGUGAGUCGUUCCUAAGCCGAGUGGCCAUUGCUAAUUAUAGGCGAAAGGGAAGCGGGUUGAAAUUCCCGCACACGGAUGUGGAGGCGGUGACGCGCAUUGAGGCGAAGACAUCGGCGAUGGCGCUGGGCAGAGAUUUCUUUUCUGUUUAAUCAUUAUCAAGCUGUGUGGAAUCCGCUUGUCGGGAGAAACACGCCUGAACGGUAAGAGCGCCGGGGCUAUUCCGGCGUCCAGCUCGCCAACGACGAUCCUUGAAAAUUCGCCUAAUGUUCAGAUCCACGCCGUGGCGUACCGAUAACCGCAUCAGGUCCCCAAGGUGAACAGCCUCUGUCCAGUAUGAAC
rnacentral:rRNA from 1 species